GUUCUGCGUGCUCCAGAGUUCUGUGGCCUCCGUCCCUUAGGGCACGUUUCCUCCCACACGGGACAUUGUUUCAAGGACAAUGUCCCCCUUAGCAAUUUCUCUCUACAAAGUUGAUUUCUGUGUCUACCUAUUGCCCUGGGCUGUGGACUCUUCAGGGAAAAUCUCUACAAUUUAUGUCCGGCACCCUUUGGAGCCUACCGUGCUGCCUAGUAUAUAGCAGUGAUGUGUUGGCCUAAGAAACUGACGAGAUACGGACAGAGUGUAACUGCUGGGGAAGUUUCUCAGAAAAGAGACUUUGGGUAAGAAGAAACGCUACCAGGGAACAAAAUCAGAGUCAUCUUCUCAAACAGGUGAGCGCAGUGAGGAUCCGGGCUGUGAUGGUGUGUGUUCAGCUGCACCUGCCCGAGAGCAGGAAGGCCGAACAGCUGACGGCGGUAUCUAGUUCCAGCUCUCACCUGGUGGCAGCCACCUGCAGGGAGGUAAAUCCUAGGAAGAAACUAAACGUCUUAACUGCAAUUUUAAAGUCUUAAACCUCCAAACUCCAAGUACACAAGGGAACUAAAACAACCCUAAUGUUGAUAUCUGAAUUUCAAAUUUCAAAUGUGCUUCCAUUUUUAAAGGUUUGUGCUUGUGAAACAUUCCUGGUGGUCAGGGACAGUGCCUAGAAGGGAGCUGCUUUCUCAGUUCCAUGAAUGCUUGCGGACUGCAGGAAACAAGGUAAAGCUAUCCUCCGUCCUUGAGGCCCACGAAUGCAGAUUUAUCAAGUUUAAGACUAACACCCGUCAUCUACCAUGUGUUGAUCCCGGUAUCUUCACUGUGACUCCAAACCAUCCCGUCUUCAUUCUUCUCCCACUUACCCACCAUCCUCACUCCCCUAAACAUCAUCAACUUCUCGCUGCUUCUUGAGCCCGUUAAGACACCUGCCCCUGACCUUCUUCCCAACAGCCUGUAAACACAGCUGAGCUCAACGGGGACACCCAUCAAAAUCCCUGGUUUGAGCUUCCCACCCCACAUCUCCCCCUGGACGUUUAGACUGCAACUCACUCUUAAGGUCAAGAAUGUAAGGAUCCAAGAGGUGAACCUUGGGAUAGUUUCAAUUACACUGCUAAUGGGAUUCCUUCAAAAUGUCACAGCCAUAGUCAGGGGCACCUUUCCCAUUUCCAGGCAACAAAGCACCAGGGAAUACUCUGUGACUCAUCCUCAGCAGCUGGUUCGAGGCCACCUGAGCUCCACAGGCUGAACUGGUGGUGGUGGUGGGGGGGGGGUCUGUCUCCUUUCAUUUAUUUGACAGAGUUUUCGGAAUAGUCAAGUACCAGGAGAAAUGAAAAUUGCAGUCACAGCUCUAACCUUCUAAAGAGACACGAGGUUACUUUCGGGCAAAUUUUGAUCUCAGGAAAUUGGGCUUUUAGGGCUUUCCAAACUCAUUUUUUUUACAACCUUCUUGCUCUAUGAUGCUCCUAAUUAUCCCACUUCAACUCUCUGCUAACAGUCCCAUGUCGGAAAAUAUCUAUGAACAUCUGAGGAGGAUGCUCUGACUCCAGCAAGGAUUAGGGGUUCCCUUUUCAGUGAUCUUACUGGAACAUACUGUAGUCUAUUUUUUUAAUAAUAAAUUUAUUUUUUAUUGGUGUUCAAUUUGCCAACAUACAGAAUAACACCCAGUGCUCAUCCCGUCAAGUGCCCCCCUCCGUGCCCGUCACCCAGUCACCCCCACCCCCCGCCCUCCUCCCCUUCCACCACCCCUAGUUCGUUUCCCAGAGUUAGGAGUCUUCAUUAUAUUGUGUUAUUUCUGGUUAUCCAUACAUUUUCCUACCUCAAUAGAUUAUAAGAUCCUUAAAGGCAGGGGACCAAGAAUUACCCAUCUUAACCCAGCACAUAGUAAGCUGGCUGAAUGGUGUUGAUUUUCAUUGAAGCAUUAGAAGGAAAUUAUAAAGGAAAAUAAUGUUUGUUUGGCUAUAUUAAAAUUUAGAGGAUUUAUUAAAAUAAGGAUAUCUUUUUACUCAUAUUUAAAAAAGAGUAAAUUAGAUGAAACCAACAAUUCACCAAAGAAAUGCAAAUAAGCAAAUGAAAAAAUGUUCAAUCCUACUAGUAGUUAAGAAAAUGCAGUUACAUUUUUUGUUACAACUGCCAAAUAUCACACACACACACACACACACACUUCCCUUCUUCUAAGAUUUUCGAUGUAGGGACCCCUGGGUGGCUCAGCGGUUGAGCAUCUGCCUUCAGCCCAGGGCAUGACCCCAGGGUCCCAGAA